rnacentral:rRNA from 1 species
GAUGAACGCUGGCGGCGUGCCUAAUACAUGCAAGUCGAGCGAACGGACGAGAAGCUUGCUUCUCUGAUGUUAGCGGCGGACGGGUGAGUAACACGUGGAUAACCUACCUAUAAGACUGGGAUAACUUCGGGAAACCGGAGCUAAUACCGGAUAAUAUUUUGAGCCGCAUGGUUCAAAAGUUAAAGACGGUCUUGCUGUCACUUAUAGAUGGAUCCGCGCUGCAUUAGCUAGUUGGUAAGGUAACGGCUUACCAAGGCAACGAUGCAUAGCCGACCUGAGAGGGUGAUCGGCCACACUGGAACUGAGACACGGUACAGACUCCUACGGGAGGCAGCAGUAGGGAAUCUUCCGCAAUGGGCGAAAGCCUGACGGAGCAACGCCGCGUGAGUGAUGAAGGUCUUCGGAUCGUAAAACUCUGUUAUUAGGGAAGAACAUAUGUGUAAGUAACUGUGCACAUCUUGAAGGUACCUAAUCAGAAAGCCACGGCUAACUACGUG